CCCGUGAGUACAUCAACACCUACACCAAGCCCUUCGACACAGCACUGGACAGUGACAAAGUGUGGCCUCUACCUACUCGACUCUUUCCCUACAACUGAUGCUCAGCCCAGAACAUAGAAACAGACAGAUUCCCACAGCAACAGCUGCAGUCACCUGGAAUACUGACAGCCAGGGUGAACCAUGUACAUAUGUAUGUUUACAAAUAAACUGUGAUAUCUAUUA